GCCUGUGGCUUAGAGGCUAGGGUGUUUGGCUUGGACUCUAAAGGUUAAGGAUUCAAGCCCCUGUGUAGCCA